AUUGAACGCUGGCGGCAGGCCUAACACAUGCAAGUCGAACGAGUGGCGGACGGGUGAGUAAUGUCUGGGAAACUGCCCGAUGGAGGGGGAUAACUACUGGAAACGGUUGCUAAUACCGCAUACCAUCGGAUGUGCCCCGAUGGGAUUAGCUAGUAGGGGGGGUAAAGGCCAACCUAGGCGACGAUCCGUAGCUGGUCUGAGAGGAUGACCAGCCACACUGGCACUGAGACCAGGUACAGACACCUACGUGAGGCAGCAGUGGGGAAUAUUGCGCAAUGGGCGCAAGCCGGAUGCAGGCAUGCCGCGUGUAUGAAGAAGGUCGUCGAGUUGUAAAGUACUUUCAGCGGGGAGGCGUUACCCGCAGAAUAAGCACCGGCUAACUCCGUGCCAGCAGCCGCGGUAAUAC
rnacentral:rRNA from 1 species